rnacentral:rRNA from 1 species
AACUCUAGAGAUAGAGUCUUCCCCUUCGGGGGACAAAGUGACAGGUGGUGCAUGGUUGUCGUCAGCUCGUGUCGUGAGAUGUUGGGUUAAGUCCCGCAACGAGCGCAACCCUUAAGCUUAGUUGCCAGCAUUAAGUUGGGCACUCUAAGUUGACUGCCGGUGACAAACCGGAGGAAGGUGGGGAUGACGUCAAAUCAUCAUGCCCCUUAUGAUUUGGGCUACACACGUGCUACAAUGGACAAUACAAAGGGCAGCUAAACCGUGAGGUCAUGCAAAUCCCAUAAAGUUGUUCUCAGUUCGGAUUGUAGUCUGCAACUCGACUACAUGAAGCUGGAAUCGCUAGUAAUCGUAGAUCAGCAUGCUACGGUGAAUACGUUCCCGGGUCUUGUACACACCGCCCGUCACACCACGAGAGUCUGUAACACCCGAAGCCGGUGGAGUAACCAUUUAUGGAGCUAGCCGUCGAAGGUGGGACAAAUGAUUGGGGUGAAGUCGUAACAAGGUAGCCGUAUCG